AUACCUUUCUCGGCCUUUUGGCUAAGAUCAAGUGUAGUAUAUGUUCUUAUCAAUUUAAUAUCUGAUAUGUGGGCCAUGUGUUUACAAUGAUAUUAAAUUUAUUUUUUAUAGCCCUGGCCCGGCGCGCCCUAACCAAAU
rnacentral:snRNA from 3 species